GUGGGACAGAGAAAAGAGGGUAGAGGAGGGAGGUCUACGUGGGACAAAAAGAAUCUACAAUGUAGUACAAGAAUGAAAUGAAGACAGGAAGACAUAUCAAAGUAAAGAUCAUCAGGUUCAGGAGAAAAACUGAACAGGACAUCCAGACACUAAAGGAGGACAGAGCAUAAACGAAAAACCAUAAUGGGUUCAAACCCUGGGAAGGAAGAACUUUGACGUGGGACAGAAAAAAGAGGGUAGAGGAGGGAGGUCUACGUGGGACAAAAAUAAUCAUCGAGUUUAAAAACUACAAUGUAGUAAAAGAAUAAACUGAAGACAGGAAGACAAAUCACAGUAAAGAUCAUUGGGUUCAGGAGAAAGACUGAACAGGACAUCCAGACACUAAAGAAGGACAGAGCAUAAAGGAAAAACCAUAAUGGGUUCAAACGUGGAAAAGGAAAACAGUUUAACGAGGGACAGAGAGAUGAGUGUAGAGGAGGGAGGGCAGUGCAUAGAUGAAAAACCAUAAUGGGUGCAAGCCUGGGAAGGGAAGAACUUCGACGUGGGACAGAGAAAAGAGGGUAGAGGAGGGAGGUCUACGUGGGACAAAAAGAAUCAUCGAGUUAAAAAACUACAAAGUAGUAAAAGAAAGAAAUGAAGACAGGAAGACAAAUCACAGUAAAGAUCAUCGGGUUCAGGAGAAAGACUGAACAGGACAUCCA